GGAGCUGGGGACUCACAACCACGAGGGAUUUCAGUUGUCAUUUUGGACAGACCUCUCUCCGUCUCUUGUCUUUCCAUUCCUUGCUGCCAAUUCCCCCUUUUUUUUUUUUUCCUUCCCCCAACCAUUUUACAGCCCCAAACCCUGUCCUUGAGCCCAGCUCUUCUCUUCCUUGUGUCCUAGUCCUUGCCUUUUCUGUAAGCAAGGAAUUAAACAAGCCUUUGUGAAGACAAAUCCAUGUAGUAGUUUCUCUCUUUACUCCCUGGCUAGGAUAUCAGUACAAUUAAAGAAGAAGCAGUGACCAAGGAAGUUGCAUUUAUUUUAAUAUCAGCUCUACUGAGUCAAGGCUUUGAGAGCAUCCUCCGAGCUGUGUGCAUGCUUGCAACAUGAGAGCUUGCUGUCAAGUCCCAAAUCCUCUAGGUACACAGGUCCCUGCCACUUCUGGUGGCAAUAAGCCCCCUCCAGACAUGUAGGGAUAGGGAAAGUGGAAUCUCACCGGCACCAAGGCUUCCCCCUCCCUCAAACAAGGCCCACCUAGAAACUCAGUAAUAAAGAGGGAAAUUGGCAACCAGCCUAAGGUCAUUUGCAAUUUGUGAGUAAUGAAGGAACCUGGAGGUAGUAGAAGCAGAUAAGAAUGAAGAAGGAGGGAGGGGAAGGGUUUAUUUGCUCUCCAGGGCUUCCUAGGCUGGGGCUCUUCCUUAGCACUGCUGUCUGGUCUCUGUGUGUUUCUAUCAGAUGUGAUGCUGUGGCAUUGCUUCCCCUGCAAGCACCAAAAGGAGAGGCCACGAGACACCUUCCUUUGGGUCUCAGUUCCAGGUAUGCUCCAGAGUCUACUGACUUAUUUAUUUUUAUUACUGCUCCCUUUCUGCCCUCGUUUUGUAAAAGCAGCUAACUCCCCUGUUGUGUUUUAUGUGAUGUUCCUACUUGAGAGCUGACUUAAUCUUUGCAUUUUGCUCUCCCUGUUAAUCUCAGGAUUAAGAAACUGCCGUGCAAGUGUGACUGGAGCUUUUAGAAGUGAUUUCUACUUUUUUAAAGGAAUAAAAAAUCUGCAAUGAGCA
rnacentral:lncRNA from 1 species